CAGCCGCCGCGGGAAUACGAGGGGGGCAAGCGUUGUUCGGAUUUAUUGGGCGUAAAGGGUGCGUAGGCGGUUUGAUAAGUCUUGUGUGAAAUCUCUGGGCUCAACCCAGAGUCUGCACGAGAAACUGUCGGGCUUGAGUAUUGGAGAGGUGAGUGGAAUUUCCGGUGUAGCGGUGAAAUGCGUAGAUAUCGGAAGGAACACCUGUGGCGAAAGCGGCUCACUGGACCAUAACUGACGCUGAUGCACGAAAGCUAGGGGAGCAAACAGGAUUAGAUACCCGAGUAGUCCCUGUCUCUUAUAC
rnacentral:rRNA from 1 species